rnacentral:rRNA from 1 species
UACGUAGGGUGCAAGCGUUGUCCGGAAUUAUUGGGCGUAAAGAGCUCGUAGGCGGUUUGUCGCGUCUGCUGUGAAAACGCGAGGCUCAACCUCGGGCUUGCAGUGGGUACGGGCAGACUAGAGUGCGGUAGGGGAGACUGGAAUUCCUGGUGUAGCGGUGGAAUGCGCAGAUAUCAGGAGGAACACCGAUGGCGAAGGCAGGUCUCUGG